UAAGACGAGUCUCACGAACGUUAUUCGGAAUUACUGGGCUUAAAGGGUGCGUAGGCGGUGGAGUAAGUCGGAUGUGAAAUACCUUAGCUUAACUAGGGAACUGCACUCGAUACUACUUUGCUAGAGUAAGACAGAGGUGAGUGGAACUGAGGGUGGAGCGGUGAAAUGCGUUGAUAUCCUCAGGAACACCGGUGGCGAAGGCGACUCACUGGGUCUUUACUGACGCUGAUGCACGAAAGCUAGGGUAGCAAACGGGAUUAGAUACCCCGGUAGUCCUAGCCGUAAACUCUGAGAACUUGAUUGAAGGGUCCUCCAUAGCCUUUCAGUCGUAGCGAAAGUGUUAAGUUCUCCGCCUGGGGAGUAUGGUCGCAAGGCUG
rnacentral:rRNA from 1 species